GGAACUCAAAGUGGGUGGCAUCAAGGCUCUUCUAGCUCAGAGAAGACUGUUCCAGGAGGGUCUCUUUCAGAAGCAGCUAAAGUCACGGGCCAUGUCCACCAUGUGAUAGAAAGACAAGAUGGUUCUGAAAUUCUCCGUGUCACUUCUUUGGAUUCAGUUGGCAUGGGUGAGCGCCCAGCAGCUGGAGCAGAGCCCUUGGUUUCUAAGCAUCCAGGAGGGAGAAAAUGUCACUAUGUACUGCAACUCCUCAAGUGUUUUUACCAACUUACAAUGGUACAGACAGGACCCUGGGGAAGGUCCUGUCCUCCUGGUGAAAUUAGUUAAGGCUGGAGAACUGAAGAAGCAGAAGAGACUAAUCUUUCAUUUUGGUGAUGCAAGAAAGGACAGCUCUCUGCACAUCACUGCGGCCCAGCCUGGUGAUACAGGCCUCUACCUCUGUGCAGGAGCACAGUGCUCUUGAGGCACCUGCUGCCUGCACC